rnacentral:rRNA from 1 species
AUUGAACGCUGGCGGCAUGCUUUACACAUGCAAGUCGAACGGCAGCGCGGGCUUCGGCCUGGCGGCGAGUAGCGAACGGGUGAGUAAUGCAUCGGAACGUGCCCAGUAGUGGGGGAUAGCCCGGCGAAAGCCGGAUUAAUACCGCAUACGACCUGAGGGUGAAAGCGGGGGACCGAAAGGCCUCGCGCUAUUGGAGCGGCCGAUGUCGGAUUAGCUAGUUGGUGGGGUAAAGGCUUACCAAGGCGACGAUCCGUAGCUGGUCUGAGAGGACGACCAGCCACACUGGGACUGAGACACGGCCCAGACUCCUACGGGAGGCAGCAGUGGGGAAUUUUGGACAAUGGGGGCAACCCUGAUCCAGCCAUGCCGCGUGCGGGAAGAAGGCCUUCGGGUUGUAAACCGCUUUUGUUCGGGAAGAAAUCCUCUGGGCUAAUACCCCGGGGGGAUGACGGUACCGGAAGAAUAAGCACCGGCUAACUACGUG